UUGACAGACAUGAAUCAUGGAAUUGUUUUGCUUUUCUCUUAGUCACCCACAGGAUCCUCAACCCUCAGCACAAGUACUCAUUCUUUCACUCUCUUCAGCUGACCAUGAGACAGAGCAGUGCAAAAUCAAUAGGCAUCGGCUAGCAAAAGAUUUAGCAUAGAUGCUAAGGCAAACGGAUUGUCCAAGACGCCCUGGAAAAACAAUACAGUGAUGAGGAUGAAAACUAAAAUGAGACAGACUUGUGCACUUCCAUAAGUAUUGAAGCCCAUCUCAGUCAGAGGGAGGACCACCAGCCAUACCUACUGCUCUUGAGAAGGAUCAAAGGUAGGAUCACCUUAUUCUAUGUGGUUGGACAAGCUUCUCAUCUCUUCUGAAGGAACCAGCUCCUUGAGUACUAUUGAACUCUUAAGUCCACUAUGUUUUCAACCUGUUGUAUGAGUAGGUCCUUUUCAAUGUUUUUAUCUUUCUUCUACACUGUACAACAUUGAUGUUGGUUAUACCAGUGAGUUGCCAAGAGUAAAGAAAUUGCAUGCAAAUCAUUGACAAACUUUUGACAACAUUUUUCAGAGCAUAUUUUAAGUUGAGAGUACUUCUAACAGCCAGCG